AUCGAAAAACGAAUAAGACCUCAUAUAAUUUUGGGAAUAUGGUCCAUAAGUUUCUACCCGAUUGCCGUAAAAAAAUCGGACUAUGAGGGAAGUGUUACGUGGA
rnacentral:ncRNA from 2 species